rnacentral:rRNA from 1 species
UAGGGAAUAUUGCAAAAUGGGCGAAAGCCCGAUGCAGCAACGCCGCGUGGGCGAUGAAGGCCUUCGGGUCGUAAAGCCCUUUUUGAGGGGAUGAGGAAGGACAGUACCCUCAGAAUAAGCCUCGGCUAACUACGUGCCAGCAGCCGCGGUAAAACGUAGGAGGCGAGCGUUAUCCGGAUUUACUGGGCGUAAAGCGCGUGCAGGCGGAUUGGAGAGUUGGAUGUGAAAGCUCCCGGCUUAACUGGGAGAGGCCGUUCAAUACUUCCAAUCUUGAGUGCAGUAGAGGGAAGUGGAAUUCCGGGUGUAGUGGUGAAAUGCGUAGAUAUCCGGAGGAACACCAGUGGCGAAAGCGGCUUCCUGGACUGUAACUGACGCUCAGACGCGAAAGCUAGGGUAGCAAACG